GAUGAACGCUGGCGGCGUGCUUAAUACAUGCAAGUCGAGCGAACAGACGAGGAGCUUGCUCCUCUGACGUUAGCGGCGGACGGGUGAGUAACACGUGGAUAACCUACCUAUAAGACUGGGAUAACUUCGGGAGACCGGAGCUAAUACCGGAUAAUAUAUUCAACCGCAUGGUUCAAUAGCUAAUGACGGUUUUGCUGUCACUUAGAGAUGCAACCGCGCCGCACUGUCUAGUUGGUAAGGUAACGGCUUACCACGGGGACGGUGCGUAGCCGCCCUGAGAGGGAUAACGGGCACGCUGGAGCGGAGACACGGUCCAGACGCCUACGGGAGACAGCAGUGGGGAAUCUGCCGCAAUGGGCGAGAGCCUGACGCAGCAACGCCGCAUGAGUGAUGAAGGUCUUCGGAUCGUAGGAAGAAGUUAUUUGGGAAGAACAAAUGUGUAAGUAACGAUGCACGACUUGACGGUACCUAAGCAGAAAGCCACGGCUAACUACGUG
rnacentral:rRNA from 1 species